UGAUUUUAUAUCAGUAAGAGCCCUGAGAGAUGAUCAGGUAGAUAGGUUAGAAGUGGAAGUGUAGUGAUACAUGUAGCGGACUAAUACUAAUAGCUCGAGGACUUAUCC
rnacentral:rRNA from 1 species